UACGUAGGUGGCAAGCGUUGUCCGGAAUUAUUGGGCGUAAAGCGCGCGCAGGCGGCUACUUAAGUCCAUCUUAAAAGUGCGGGGCUUAACCCCGUGAUGGGAUGGAAACUGAGAAGCUGGAGUGUCGGAGAGGAAAGUGGAAUUCCUAGUGUAGCGGUGAAAUGCGUAGAGAUUAGGAAGAACACCGGUGGCGAAGGCGACUUUCUGGACGACAACUGACGCUUAGGCGCGAAAGCGUGGGGAGCAAACAGG
rnacentral:rRNA from 2 species